rnacentral:rRNA from 1 species
UCCUACGGGGCGCAGCAGUGAGGAAUAUUGGUCAAUGGCCGGAAGGCUGAACCAGCCAAGCCGCGUGAGGGAGGAAGGCGCAGAGCGUCGCAGACCUCUUUUGCCGGGGGACAAAAGGCCGGACUCGUCCGGUCCUGAGGGUACCCGGAGAAAAAGCAUCGGCUAACUCCGUGCCAGCAGCCGCGGUAAUACGUAGGGGGCAAGCGUUAUCCGGAUUUACUGGGCGUAAAGGGAGCGUAGACGGAGGAGCAAGUCUGAUGUGAAAAUCCGGGGCCCAACCCCGGAACUGCAUUGGAAACUGUUUA